rnacentral:rRNA from 1 species
AUUGAACGCUGGCGGCAUGCCUUACACAUGCAAGUCGAACGGUAACGGGCCUUCGGGUGCCGACGAGUGGCGAACGGGUGAGUAAUACAUCGGAACGUGCCCGAUCGUGGGGGAUAACGAGGCGAAAGCUUUGCUAAUACCGCAUACGAUCUACGGAUGAAAGCCGGGGACCGCAAGGCCUUGCGCGGACGGAGCGGCCGAUGGCAGAUUAGGUAGUUGGUGGGAUAAAAGCUUACCAAGCCGACGAUCUGUAGCUGGUCUGAGAGGAUGAUCAGCCACACUGGGACUGAGACACGGCCCAGACUCCUACGGGAGGCAGCAGUGGGGAAUUUUGGACAAUGGGCGCAAGCCUGAUCCAGCCAUGCCGCGUGCAGGAUGAAGGCCUUCGGGUUGUAAACUGCUUUUGUACGGAACGAAAAGCCUUCUUUUAAUACAGGAGGGUCAUGACGGUAGCGUAAGAAUAAGCACCGGCUAACUACGUG